AUUACCACGAUCCUUCCUUGCCCACGAUUUGUUUUCAUUCUCUUGUAUCUCUUAGAUACAACAAAAAUAUCACAGAAACCCCAUCGAUAAAAAACAGAAUGUGAAAGUUCUAUUCUCCUUCUUCAACUUCAAAAUCAUAAUUUUUAAUGGGGAUCAUACUGAAUCCCGAUCCAGUUCUGAGAUCAAUUUCUAAGUAAUGAUCCCAACAAGACAACAACUUAUAUUUCCCAAUGACGCUAUGAUCUCCUUCCUUUGCACAGUUUUGUUGACUAUGGUGGAGCACGACACUACUUCAUAGAAACCGGUUUAUGACUAUGAAAGUUGGAGAAAGCGCGAGGACAUGGUGAUCCGAAUAGCUGGAGAUUUGACUCGACCAAAAAGACUAAAAAAAGAAGAAAUAGAAAGAAAUAGAAGGAUAGAAGUCAGCCACAAAUAUAGAUGCAAACGUUUUUAGAAUCAGAAGAAGGGCUUUUGAUAAAAGGACUUGGAGUUGGGCCAAGACUAACUAAUUGAGGCCCAUUAGUUCAACAAACUCUACCUUGGGUCUUAAUUACUUCAACUUCUCUUCUCUCAUUUGUUAUCACCGAAGACGUCUCGAGCUCCCCGUCCCCUUCUUCCAUGGACGAUGACGGUUGUGUUGACAUCGAUUCCUCGCGACGAUGGCCUUAACCGAUCAGAUCCUUCGUCAAGGGUCUUCGAUCUUCCGCUUUGCCUCACUUCUUGAGGAGAUUCGACUUAGCUCCUCCGUAACUCAGUUUCUUGAACCCACCACCGAUGUUUCUUCGGUGCCGUAUCUCACUCCGAUCCUUGUUCAUCAUAAAAGAAGAUCACGACUUCUUCUUUCGCUUGAGAAAGUGAUUCUCUCAAACCGGCGGAAAUGAGAGAAACUUCACCAGAAAUCUGACAUCCCAUUUUCCGCUUUUUCAGCGAAACCAUAUGCGCCUCCUCCAUUGUAUAAAACGACCCAUUGAGCCUCCUUGUUACCGCUUGAGUUAGUCAUUCCGGUUUCCUGUUUUGGUCUAUCCCAGCUUACUCUACCUUAAGCUGAGACCUUCUAGCUUUAGAACUCCUUGCCUUGCAUCUUCAUAGCAGGUCACUUCCUUGUACCUAUUGAGCUUCCUUGUUAUCGAUGAGAAGUAAUAUGAUUGCUCUAACCUUAUUACUUCUUCUUAUGCAAGGUGAAUCGAUAACGAAGUUACCUGUCGUGCCGGUUUCUUAGGCUAUUUUGAGGACUUCACAACAGAGAUCAAUUUUUUCCCUGGCUACGAAAUAUGUGUCUUCGAAUCUUGAUGGUGGGUUUAUUUGCCUUCUAACUCGGUCCCUUGCCAUCAGGUAUGAUAGAUACUCUACAUGGAGCUGUUAACUCCUCGUCAUCUUCCUCUGAUGGAGUUGGUCAUUCUAUCAAAUUUUCAUUGAACGCCAUUCGCCUCAUUCUCUUUUCCUUUGUGUUAUUCUCCAUGUUUUCAAAUUUGGCGCCUCUCUUAAGAUUAUGUAUUGUGUGUUUGUUGAGUUCUUCUUCAUUAAACACGACAUUCCUACUUGUGUCGCAUUAACGACUUUCUGGUACCCACACGCGAUAGCUCUUAUUUCCGAACGGAUAUCCCAUAAAAACACCUUUUAUGGCCCUUGGACUCGUCUCUUCUUGAAUCUUAUGUACAAAAACAGAACACCCGAACCUUUUAAGGUUUCUUAAGUCGCACUUAGUACCUGUCCAUCUCUCUUCAGGCAGUGAAUAAUCAAUCACAGAGUUAGGAGAUCGAUUGAUCACAUAUGUGGCCGCUGAAGCAGCUUCGGCCCAGAAUUCUUGCCCUAACCAUGUCUCCACGAGCAUGCACCAAAUCUUGUCCAUAAUUUUCAUGUUCAUUCGUUCUAAAACUCUGUUCUAUUGUGGAGUAUACAUACAAGUCUUGUGUCUCUUAAUGCCUGAAUCUUUGCAUAGUUUAUCCAACUACUGAUUACAAAACUCAAGACAAUUACCCGUUAAGACACUAUAUUUUCUUCCUUGAUUGAUUUUCCACGGCUUCUUUCCAUUCUUUGAAUUUGCUGAAGGCUUCAUCUUACGUUUUAAGAAAGUAAAUCCAAACUUUGCGUGAAAAAUCAUCUAUGAAGCUUAUAAAGUACUUUCUUCCAGCUAGACUUUCUGGAGUCAAUGGGGCUCCCCAUAAAUCUGAAUGUAUGUACUUGAGAAUUUCUUUAGUGGUAUGCUUCGCAGCGGGAAAGCUUUGCUUGUGAGAUUUUACUAGGACACACGUCUCACAGAACUCAAGUUUGUCCACUUCCUUCUUCGUUACAUAUCCUUUUUCUAUCAGCACAUUCAGAUUCUUCAAACUCAUAUGGCAUAAACGAGAAUGCCAUAUAUAUGUCUUAUCUACAUCAUCCUUUGACAUGUAAGCUUUUCAUUUAGACACUGUCCCUUGUAGGUAAUAUAAAGCUUCGUUGAACUUCUCUGAUAUGAUCUCCUUACCGUCUUUGUAGAACCUGAUCAUAAUGUAUUUCCCUUCAUAGUCGGCAUGUACCUCACAUCCGUGAGAACCACCACGGUUCCAUCAGGUCUCACGAUCCGUAUCUUACCAAUACCUUUUACAUCACAAUGCAUGUUAUUUUCCAUUAGAACCCUUCCCCCUUCGAAUUCUUGUAAGUCAAACAAGACAUCUUUGUUUGGAGUAUAUGGAAAGAGCACCCAGAGUACAUUACCCAUUCUUCUUUCGUGUCACUAGGACUUACGGUUAGUACUAAGGGUUGUUUCGGUUCCUAAGCUACAUUGGCAGAUUUGUAGGAAUACUUUUCUGGACAUUCCCGCUUCCAAUGUCCUUCAUUACCACAUAUGAAACAACCCUUAUUGUUUUUGGCAUAUUUUGGUCUUGAUUUGGAUCUUCUGUACUUGCUCUUAGACCGUUCUUUUAUCAUUCUUGUUUUCUGCUUUGUUGGACCGGUUUGAUGACCUUCCUCUAUCGCCAACAUCAUCUUGAGACUUAUUGAGUUUGCCGCUUUCCAAUAAAUCUCUCUCCUUAGAUAGUGCAGGCCCUGUUACUUCGUUGAUUUGAGAGUGUCUCGACCGUACUUGAGGGUCUCCUUGAGUUGAUCAUAUCAUUGAGGCAUUGAAUUUAGUAAUAGAAUAGCUUGAACUGCUUUAUCAACUUCCACGUUCAUGUUUUUUAAGUCUGCUACUAGCAUUAGGAAGUCAUCCACGUUUGUAUCUAUGCUCUUAUAAUUGUUCAUCUUGA